rnacentral:rRNA from 1 species
GACGAACGCUGGCGGCGUGCCUAAUACAUGCAAGUAGAACGCUGAAGGAGGAGCUUGCUUCUCUGGAUGAGUUGCGAACGGGUGAGUAACGCGUAGGUAACCUGCCUGGUAGCGGGGGAUAACUAUUGGAAACGAUAGCUAAUACCGCAUAAUAGCAGUUGUUGCAUGACAACUGUUUGAAAUGUGCAAUUGCACCACUACCAGAUGGACCUGCGUUGUAUUAGCUAGUUGGUGGGGUAACGGCUCACCAAGGCGACGAUACAUAGCCGACCUGAGAGGGUGAUCGGCCACACUGGGACUGAGACACGGCCCAGACUCCUACGGGAGGCAGCAGUAGGGAAUCUUCGGCAAUGGACGGAAGUCUGACCGAGCAACGCCGCGUGAGUGAAGAAGGUUUUCGGAUCGUAAAGCUCUGUUGUAAGAGAAGAACGAGUGUGAGAGUGGAAAGUUCACACUGUGACGGUAUCUUACCAGAAAGGGACGGCUAACUACGUG